rnacentral:pre_miRNA from 1 species
AACCUUCACAGUCUGGCUGGUCCCCAGGCAGGACUGGAUGAAUAUCUCUUCAAAAGGCUCACCCUCAAGCAAGACUAGGACC